GCGGGUGUAGUUCAAUGGUAGAACACGGGCUUCCCAAGCCUGAAACGAGGGUUCGAUUCCCUUCACCCGCU
rnacentral:tRNA from 1 species